GCCGGCGUGGUGGAACUGGAAGACGCGCGGGACUCAAAAUCCCGUGUCCCUCGGGGACGUGUCGGUUCAACUCCGACCGCCGGCACCA
rnacentral:tRNA from 1 species